UAUUCCGAUUUAAACUGAGGAUUCCAAGCUGCUGUUAACUCCAACAUCCCUCCCCUACACGCCCACACAAAGAAAGUGUUUUAACUAAACUUCAUGCAAAACAUUUCGGUGCCCGUCGUCCCCAACCUUUUCAAGGGAUUUCUUUUAGUAAAAUCAGCUGUUAAAUCGAGGGAAACAAACAUUGUUUCUGUCUUACCUGAACUAAGACAGAGCCCCUCCCAGCCCGGCCUCCUGGGGACUGCGGCCGGGAGCUGAAUUCACCUUUAACUCCUGCACCGAAAUGACCAGCCAGGCUGAAAUCUGGGAGCUCACCUGUCAAGAAAAGCUGCUGUACCCAUGGAUACCUACAGAGAACACACUGCCUUUGAUGGAACUGAAAAGACAAAUGGAUCAGGAAGUGGAGAUAGCGAAGAAUCGGUGAAAGUUCAGCUUUAAGGUAGAACCCAUUGUACCAGGCCAACAGUGGCACUUUCCUGUCACUGGGUCACAUCUUCCUUCUUCACCACACGGACAAAGCAUCCUACAAUCUUUUCCAUAAUAGCCUUCUGGACAAGCUGUAAAAGAGAAAUAUUUGUUCAGAUCCUGCCAGAUAAGCUCAUCACCAUUUCAGGUCUUCAGCAACUGAAUUUUGUAAAUAAAACAAACUAUUUUCCAUGCCUCCAUGGUAUGUUGGGUCUUAGGUAAACUAUCAGUAUUAAGUACUUGUAUAGGCACAGAAAUGUGACCAUUAUAUGCAGAUUUAUAGGUUAUAAUGUUGUUGGAUCAGCACCUGUAUAUGAAGUUGGAACAUCUAAACAUGUUAUGCCUGAUGAGAAGAAGGUAGCAUUUGUGAGAACAGCUCAGAUCAUCAUUACUGGAUGGCUAAGCAAUAAUUUCUUAUUUAUAAACCAUACUUUUAUUAAAUCAUUCAUGUGGCUAAACAUCACUUCUUGCAUCUGUAAUGUGACAUCCCUGUUGCCUCUUCAACAUUCUUCCAUGCCUCUUUAAUGCCCCUGCUUAUCUCCAUAUGCUCCCUCAUUGUCUCAAUGACCACCUCUAGUUCCAAAAACCCCUCUUACACAUUGUCCCCAGCACUCACCAUUCCUUCACUUGCAAUGCGUGCGCAACCCCUUUUGAUAUCCCAGUUUUAGUGACCAAAUCUUCUGAAAGCAAGACCCAAUCUGCUGACAUUCCUUCCCACAAACCCUUCACUUGGACUCCCUCUUUUAAGAUCCUCAAUCAAUCCACCAUUUUACCAAGUUCUGACUAUUCCUCCUAAAAAAAACCCUUCCAUUGAAACACUGUCCAUUUUUGUUAGAGUGAGCCUCUGAGAAGUACUUCAGGAAAGUAUCUCUGUAUUAAAAAGGUCUGUAUAUGCUGUUGAUGAUGGCCUUGAUGACAGUGAAGGAGCUAACUGUAUGCCUGAGGGGGCUGAAUAGAGAUGGAAUUGUUUUGUAUCUUAUUCAUAGAGUAAAGGAAUCAGCUAAAUCACAGAAUGCUUGGGGCACAGAUGGUGGCCAUUUGGCCUGGUAGCCCCUACUGGUUCUUUAUAUGAGCAAUUCAUGACUCCCAACCCUUACUCUAAAGCCCUGCAAAUCUUUUACAUUCAGGUACUAAUCAAGUACCUAUAUUAAAGCCAGGCUUGAAUCUGUCACCAUCUCAGGCAAUGCAUUCCAGAUCCUAUAUCCCACUGCAUAAAGGCUUUCCUCAUGUCACCUUGGUUACUGAAGAAUAUAGAUAGGUGAAGCAAUAAGGCCAUUUAGACCCUCAUCCACCAUUCAAUAAGAUCAAGGCUGAUCUGACUGCUGCCUAAUCUCCACGUUCUUGUCUGUGCCCCCAAAACCCUUAACUCCCUUGUCAAUCAAAAGGCAAACUCAGCCUUGAAUAUAAGCAAUGACCUAGCCUCUGUGGGUUUUCGGUGAGAGAAUUCUAAAUGUUGAGGACCCUCUGAGGGAAGAAAUUCCCCUUCAUCUCUGCCUUAAAUGGGAGACUUCUCAUUUUGAAUCUGUGCUCCCCUAGUUCGAGAGUCCCCCACAAGGAGAGGUAUCCUCUCAUCAUCCAUCCUGUCAAAGCCACCCAGAAUCCUAGAUUUCAAACAGUUAUUUUGCCAUUCUCUUCUUUUCUACGCAUUGACAUUUGCAAUUUGUAAGGGAUUGACAACAGAGAUGCUUGAAUGGAAAAUGAAAGGCUUACAUCUUUCACAGAAUGUUCCAGUCCAUCCUGCUGCACAGGUGCACGCGCCACUGACGUGGUCACAAGCUGCUCCAUUUUCACACUGACAUCUGAACUUACAUCCUGAACCAUAACUUCCACCGGGGCACUCUGUACACAGGAGACAUAAAAAGCCAGUAUGAGGAUCUGUUGCAAUGCUGUGCUGCAGACCAAUAAAUUGCCCCACCUCAGUGUGCAAUCUGUCCUGCCUUCCAGAAAUGGCAACACGGGGGCUCAGUGGGUACACUGCUGCCUCACAGUGCCAGGGGCCCAGGUACGAUUCCACCCUCGGGCUACCGUCUGUGUAGAGUUUCCUUCGGGUGAUCCGGUUUCCUCCCACAGUCUAAAGCUGUUCAGGUUAGGUGGAUUGGCCAGGCAAAUUGCUCACAGUGUUCAGGGAUGUGCAGAUUAGGUGGGUUAUAGGGUGAUGGGUCUGGGUAGGAUGCUCUAAGGGUUGGUGUGGACUUUUUGGACCAAAGGGCUUGAUGCCACACUGUAGUGCUUCUAUGAUCUAUGAUCUUCUGCAAAAAUCAACUGAAUGAAUGCAACUAUAUCUGUCAUUCCAUGCAUUUCAAAGUAACCAAAGGGAAAUGUGAUCAAUGCAUUACAAGGCAGCUAAUGUUUAAAAAGUCACACACAAUGUUAUUGCUGAGAGAACUUAACUUGUGUCUUUGACUUCAGAAAGUCGACAUUACAUUUGGACAACACAAAACACAUUAAACCACACACAUUGGUGCAUUUAGUACAACAUCCCAAUAGAGUUAAGGGAGGAAACGAUUAAAGAAGCUGACCUGGGCUUUAGUCCAAUAACAACAGAAAAUUGCAAAUCUCAGAGGCUCUAGUUCAUUUCAUUCAUGAUCAGAACUAAUGACUAUUGUGGUUUGAAACAUUUGAACAAUGAUAAUUCAUGAACAUUGACAUAUUAAGAAAUUGCUGGAAAAGCUCAGCAGGUCAGGCCGCACCUAUGGAGAGAAAGCUGAGUUUGCAUUUUGGGUCCAGUGGCCCUUCUUCAGAAAUAUUAAUUCAGAUGCUGCCUGACCUGCUGACCUCUUCCAGCGAUUUCUGACCUUAUUUCUGAUUUCUAGCAUCCACAGUUUUUGAGUUUUUGAUUGCAAAUUCCAAUUCACCAGCUGUCCAUCAAACCUGUGCAAGUCCUGCCCGGGAUAGCAGGAUUGGAGAAUCAAUGUAUCUAGUGUCAAUGACUUAAAGGAACAACACACUACAGACAAAUAUAUUUGACAUAAUGCUUUUUAGAUGAUCAAAACCAAAAGAAUUGCCAGUGCUGUAAAUCAGAAACAAAAA